rnacentral:rRNA from 1 species
CCUACGGGAGGCAGCAGUGGGGAAUAUUGGACAAUGGGGGCAACCCUGAUCCAGCCAUGCCGCGUGUGUGAAGAAGGCCCUCGGGUUGUAAAGCACUUUCAGUGAGGAAGAACGCCUGGUGGUUAAUACCCAUCAGGAAAGACAUCACUCACAGAAGAAGCACCGGCUAACUCCGUGCCAGCAGCCGCGGUAAUACGGAGGGUGCGAGCGUUAAUCGGAAUUACUGGGCGUAAAGCGCGCGUAGGUGGCUUGAUAAGCCGGUUGUGAAAGCCCCGGGCUCAACCUGGGAACGGCAUCCGGAACUGUCAAGCUAGAGUGCAGGAGAGGAAGGUAGAAUUCCCGGUGUAGCGGUGAAAUGCGUAGAGCUCGGGAGGAAUACCAGUGGCGAAGGCGGCCUUCUGGACUGACACUGACACUGAGGUGCGAAAGCGUGGGUAGCAAACAGGAUUAGAUACCCUUGUAGUC